rnacentral:rRNA from 1 species
AGCUCCAAUAGCGUAUAUUAAAGUUGUUGUGGUUAAAAAGCUCGUAGUUGGAUUUCGGCGGACGUGGGCCGGUCCUCAUCGCUGAGGCACUGGUUUCAUCUGUCCGUGUACAAGUUUGUCAGAACUGUUUCGGGUGAACUUAACCGUUUGUCCGAGGCGGCUGGCAGUUUUACUUUGAAAAAAUUAGAGUGCUCAAAGCAAGCUUUACAUCGCUUGAAUAUUCGUGCAUGGAAUAAUGGAAUAGGAAGUCGUUUCUAUUUUGUUGGUUUUCGGAACUUCGACUUAAUGAUUAAUAGGGACAGUCGGGGGCAUUUGUAUUCAGACGCUAGAGGUGAAAUUCUUGGACCGUCUGAAGACAAACUACUGCGAAAGCAUUUGCCAAGAAUGUUUUCA